rnacentral:rRNA from 1 species
GACGAACGCUGGCGGCGUGCCUAAUACAUGCAAGUCGAGCGAUGAAGCUUGGUGCGUGCACCACUUUGCAGAGCAGCGGACGGGUGAGUCACGCGUGGUGAAUCUUCCUUUGAGCGGUAGACAACAUUUGGAAACGCAUGCUACUACCGCAUAACAACUUUAAACAUAAGUUUUAAGUUUUAAAGAUGCAAUUGCAUCACUCACAGCUGAUCCCGUGUUGUAUUAGCUAGUUGGUUAGGUAAAGGCUCACCAAGGCGAUGAUACAUAGACGACCGGAGAGGGUGAUAGGCCACAUUGGGACUGAGACACGGCCCAAACUCCUACGGGAGGCAGCAGUAGGGAAUCGUCGGCAAUGGACGAAAGUCUGACCGAGCAACGCCGCGUGAGUGAAGAAGGUUUUCGGAUCGGAAAAAUCGGUUGGUAGAGAAGAACGUUGGUGAGAGUGGAAAGCUCAUCAAGUGACGGUAACUACACAGAAAGGGACGGCUAACUACGUG